rnacentral:lncRNA from 1 species
CAUCUGCACCCCCAUCAUAGGUAGAGACCCCACCCUCCCAUCGGUCCUACAUGGGGCUGUGCAGCUGGAGCCAAAAAGGCAAGGCAAGGGCGGAGCAUGUGUCUUGGGCCCACACCUGCUUAGUUUAUGAGGACCGGCUGCUUUCCAGUGGUAGCCCUUUUGCCAUGGAGGUCUGGGAGAGAGAGCAGAGGGCGGCAGGGCUAAGUUGGUGAUCAUUGGGUUCUUCAGGACCUUCUAUAUCCCUCCUCGGUAACCCCCCAGCCCAACCCCUUGGAAUCUUUCCUCCAGGCUUCCUGAGAGCCCUGGGGGUGGGAGGCUGUGGGAGGCUGUACAUCUGAAAUUCACUUCAGUCCAAGUCAUACCUAGGAAGCUGUCUGGGCAGCUGCUCGAGGGAGGCCCUGGCUCUGAUCCCAGGCUGGAUGGAGUGGCUGGAAGGAAUGGUUCCAAACAACACCACCGAGAUCUCCCUCAGGCUGGCCAGGUUUUGCAGCUGGAAUUCUCCUCUUGGUCCCAGGGCGGGGCAGGGAAUUCUAAGUGUCCACCCCAGGGAGGCAAGGGGCUGCUUUCCACUGUGGGUACCUGGUGAUCAGGGCAAGCUGUGGAGGGCCAGGGGUGGGGCUGAGACUGGGCUGACAUCUAGAAUCACCUGCCACCUGGAGCCUCAGUAAAAUGCCUGGGGUCCCUGCUGCCUCUCAAUCUCCAGAGCCAUGUCCAUGGGGAGGUGGGCUCUGAAGGGCGAAGGUGGGAGAGCAGGGCCCCUGAGGCCUGGGUAUCCAAGGAGGGGCACGUGCACCUGAUUCUCCUUGGGGCCCAGAGGAAGCUGAUGUCAUGGCUGGACAAAGUCACGGAGUAAAGCCAGCAAAGC